UACGUUGUUAUUGAUACGGCCAUCGAAGUUGGAAGAUGGAAACCAUUACCAGUUCAGUCAACAAUACCAGCUAGAGUUUUUUUGAUGAUGGGAGAGAUGGAAGAUGAUUUUGGCGAUCUUUACGCAGACGUAGAGCUUCAAGUAAGUGAUACCAUUAACGCAGUCUCAGGCUUCAACCAGUUGUAUUUAGAAAAUGAUAGUAAGAACGAGAUUGAUGGUGUUGAUGAUCAUGUGGCCUCCGAAUUAAUGUCGAAGAAAGUUAAUUCGAUUAGCCAGGAGUCAACUCUGUGUAGUAAGGAUGAAGGGAAAUUGAUUGAGAAUGUCACGGAAACCCCGAAUUCGGAAGCCCAUGUCGAAGAAGAGCUAAUUGUGGAUAGUGGAAGUGAUAGCGAAGAUGAUUUGCAUAUUGUUUUGAAUGAGGAUGACUGUUGUAUGCACCCGGUUCCACGCAAUGCAAUAACGAGUAAUCGGAGAUUGACUGAGGGAAGUGACGAUGAAGAUGAUGACUUAGUGAUUGUUACCGAUGCUAAUCGUCCAAGCAAUGAUAGGAACUUGAUGGAUCAGUUACAGUCGUCUUGUGAUGGAUUGGAGCAGACUGCUUUGUGUUCUGGUGCUGAAAAAGGAAAUGGGAUGAAGGGUAGUCAUCCUUCGCAGUAUUCCCAAUACAAGUACAUAAGACCAAUCAAUUCGAAAGGCAGCAGAUCUGGAGCAGCGGUUCCCCUGUCUUCUCCAUUGUCAGGUAAAUGUGAUUGGGAUGUAAAUGGGAGCAAUCGGCAGAUGGUGUCAAGCAUGCCUCACACUGCUUCAUCCUCUAGUACAAUCAUUCCUUUUGUUGCUCAAAGAGGAUAUGAUUUCUCGCUUCCACGCUAUAGGACAAUAUUAGGCGUAAAUAUUGAUACAUUUGAGCGGAAGCCCUGGAUACAUCCUGGAGCAGAUAUAACAGAUUUUUUCAACUUUGGCCUGGAUGAGGAAAGUUGGAAAGAGUAUUGCAACCACCUGGAACAAUUUCGUCAACAUCAUCAACAUACCAACAUGCUGGCCAAGAACCCUGAGUCUCUAAGGCUUAACCAGGCUUCCGGGCUUGAAUUUGAGCAUGAGACAGUAGCUCCAGAAGCUGUGACUGGGGAAAGUGGUCAAAUUGGCGAUGCCACAAAAGUUUCUUUGUCCUUAAAAAAUGCUGAUAGAGGAGGGAAAUGGCUGGAAGUGCCGAAAGGAAGAGCAAUUCAGGUUGAAGGUGGCAUUGGUGAACGACAACCGUCUAUGGAUGUGAGACGCCCACGCAAUCGGGAUUCUGAUGUUGUAAUACAGAUUUCUGUUCAUGAUUCCUCGAGGGAUUCCAGUGGUUCAAGUGAGCAAGAAGGCCAUGAAGAUAAUUCUGUACUGGAAAUAUCUAAGAGUAGAGAUUUUGGAACAGAUGAUAACAGUGAUAUGCAUGAUUCUGAUGGUGUGCACAAGGACACACAGUCUAUAAAGCCGGUGGAUGAAUAUAGCAAUCGAUUUUCCAGAUCUCAUGUUAAAGAUUAUGGAGCACGCCGUCUGACAAGGUGCUCUCAACCAACAGCUACAUCAAAUGCAUUGACUCUGGAUCCUGAUGGUCAAGUGAAUGAGCACAUCUGUGAUGAAGCUAGGCAUCAUCGUCAGAAGGCGAAAGAGAAAAUUUUUAAGGAUGAAAAAAUGUUGAUGCAAGUAGAGCAAACCAAGGAAGCGAUUGUUAAUGUGAUACCUUCCAAGGCAGGACCGCGUAUGUUGGAAGCAGAAUCAAAUUCUGAAACCUAUUUUGAUAGUCGUUCUAAAGCACCCAAUGAUGAGAUGGAUUUUGGUCUGGAUAGAGCUCUGAAGCCUUCGGAAAGGCCAUCAUCAAAUUCUGCCCCUGAAUCAUGGGAGUCAAUGGCAUGUGACAGUGAUAACUCUAAAGACUCUGGAAGCAAUGACAGUGAUAUGGAAUUUGGUGAAUGCAAAUUUGAUUCUAAAAACCAAAGCCCCAAUCAUGUGAAGCAGAACCACUGCAGUAGAAUGCAACUACGCAGUGUAGCUGAACUGAAGGAUCACAGAGAUGAUGAUGAGGAUGCUCUAAUGUCUGAUAGAAAGGACUGGUAUGGCGGUGAUCACUCAAAAGUUAACCAUGAUACACAUAAACGAUGGAGGCGUAAUAAUGGUGUUUAUGAUGGAGAAGAGAUGUCGUAUUAUAGAGGUACUGAAGUAUCAACUGGUUGUCGCAGUGAUAGGCCUGUUGACAGAAAGGCAAGGAAUGGUUGCACUGAAAAUUUUCAUGGGAUUCCACGAUACAUCAAGGAUGAUAAGGAUCGAUUUCCCACAAGGCACUGGCAUGAAAAUGAUUAUUUUCUUGACGAAGGAAUCACUGCAGAGUACAGAAGAAGAGAAGAUUAUCUUCAUGAAAGAGGACAUACAAAAGACAGAAUAAAUUCUUUUUCUUAUAAGAAAUCCCGGUCACUUUCAGGGCAUUCCUCCCUUUACACAGAGGAGGCAAGAAAUCCUUGGCAAAGAAGGAAGAGGGAUGAUAAAUCACGAUUCAGAAAGAGAACUCCUGAUGAUGAGUAUGAGUUGGAGCAUAGGUGUAUAGAGGAUCUUGAAGAAAAAUAUGGAAGACAUGUACCAUACAAUGACAGAGAACCAUUCAAAGAGAAGUAUGAUAGGCAUAUACCAUAUAUUGGAAGAGAAAUAGAAAGGUCUGGUAGAAGAAACAGAUAUUGCCGCAGUCCCUAUCCCGAUUUGGACACUUCAUGGAGUUCUGCUGCAUAUGAUGAUGAAUUCUGGAGACAUCCUGAUCAUCGGUGUAUAGCAGUUGAUACUUGCAGAGAAGUUGAAAUUGUAAAAGAAAGACGGUGGCAAGAUAUCACUUCACCAAGGAAUGAUACAAGUGAUAUUAGGAGAUUUGAUGAAAGACAUUUUGACCAUUGGCGACCGAUAAAGCAUAGGGAUAGUGGUUGGCUUGAUCCUAUUUUUGAAAAUGAUUAUCAUGCUGAAGAUAGGACCAUUUAUCCUGAUGCUGAUAUUUAUAAAAAGGGAAGACGAUUUGGUCAGCGACCUGAAGCAUUCCAUUGGGUUGAGAGCAAAUUAUGCUCUAGGCAUCAAGAUCAAGAUGAAAUGUAUUCCGAUGAGGAACCUUCUUCCUUCAAAAGAAAUAAGAAGCAUGAGCGUAUUCAUGUUGAACGUGAGCCAACACAUCAUGGUUUCGUGAUUAAUGAGCAGAUUGGAAGCAAAAUUAUAAGAGAAGAAAUAAGAAUAUCGGAAAUUAGCAACCACAAUAAUUCUGGUAUCAAUAUUAUUUGUAGGGUUAAGCAUGAGCAAGCAGCCCUUAGGAGCAGGGAUUCGGCUCUAGGUGGUUGGGAAGGAAAGGUAAAGUUGGGGAAACCGAGGUUGACACCUUGUAUCACUGUACUUGUAUAUAUGAGUGGCGCCUUUGACAUGUUCAGUGGCUCUUUUUCUUUUUUGUUGAAGCUAUCCCUGUGCAUUUCUUUGGUAGAGCCCUUUAUACCUGCUAUGAUCUUUUUAUUUGUUUCAUGUAAUCUUCUUGAUAAAGAUUUUUCCAUUUCAACCAUUCCUUCAUGUGUUACAUUUCCAAGGAUGGCCAUGGAGGCUAAGGAAGAUGGUGUAUCAGGUAUAAUACCUGAAGCAUGUAGAUGGGGAGGGGCAAAUAGUUCAUCUUUGCUGCUAAUAAAAUUUCUCAAGCAUUCUCUUUCUGGAAUUUAUGACUGCUAUAUUCAUUUGUUAAGUGCUAGUUUAUUUCUCAUCAAAAUCUACAUCCGGUUUAUGCCGAAUCUUUUUAUUUGUACAACUGUUAAUUUUUUGGGGGUUGAAUUUUGAAGAAUACACGUGUUUGAUGGAAGUUCUUGAUGCGGAUGCUUCACGUUCUUACAUAUGUCAAUUUCUUUCUAUACUCAAGUAGGUCAACUAGAUGUUAGUAUCCUAUGGAGACCAUUCUACUAAUCCUUGUGACAGUUGCCCAAACUGAGCCCUCUGAUGUGCAGAGCUGCCAAUUUAUAUUCCUAUGGAUCCUGAUCACUCUUGCCAUUUGUUGCGGUGGAUCUUACUGAGUUGGCAAUUACCAUGGAACUGAAAAACAAGAUUCAUUGGUAUCCACGUAGUUUAUCUUAUGUGUCUUAUACUAACUUGAACAUUAGUGUGUUGAAAAGCAGUCCUCCGGAAGAUGCUCCAAAGCUGAGGAUGUUAGAUGCAAUGGUGGGCACAGCCACAUGGACCAGAUGGUUGAUAAUGAGCAGACGGUUUUCAGGCAUUCUGAUGAAGCACAUACAAGGGUUG